rnacentral:rRNA from 1 species
AGCGAACGCUGGCGGCAGGCCUAACACAUGCAAGUCGAACGAACCUUUCGGGGUUAGUGGCGGACGGGUGAGUAACACGUGGGAACGUGCCUUUAGGUUCGGAAUAACUCAGGGAAACUUGUGCUAAUACUGAAUGUGCCCUUCGGGGGAAAGAUUAAUCGCCUUUAGAGCGGCCCGCGUCUGAUUAGCUAGUUGGUUGAGGUAAUGGCUCACCAAGGCGACGAUCAGUAGCUGGUCUGAGAGGAUGAUCAGCCACAUUGGGACUGAGACACGGCCCAAACUCCUACGGGAGGCAGCAGUGGGGAAUCUUGCGCAAUGGGCGAAAGCCUGACGCAGCCAUGCCGCGUGAAUGAUGAAGGUCUUAGGAUUGUAAAAUUCUUUCACCGGGGACGAUAAUGACGGUACCCGGAGAAGAAGCCCCGGCUAACUUCGUG